rnacentral:rRNA from 1 species
UACGUAGGCAGCAAGCGUUGUUCGGAGUUACUGGGCGUAAAGGGUGUGUAGGCGGUCCUUUAAGUUUGUUGUGAAAUCUCCCGGCUCAACCGGGAGGGUGCGGCGAAUACUGAGGGGCUAGAGUGCGGGAGAGGAAAGUGGAAUUCCUGGUGUAGCGGUGAAAUGCGUAGAUAUCAGGAGGAACACCGGUGGUGUAAACGGCUUUCUGGACCGUAACUGACGCUGAGACACGAAAGCGUGGGUAGCAAAC